rnacentral:rRNA from 1 species
AAUCAACGCUGGCGGCGUGCCUAACACAUGCAAGUCGCACGAGAAAGGGACUUCGGUCCUGAGUACAGUGGCGCACGGGUGAGUAACACGUGAAUCAUCUACCUUCGAGUGGGGAAUAACUGAGAGAAAUCUUAGCUAAUACCGCAUAAUACCUACGGGUCAAAGCAGCAAUGCGCUUGAAGAGGAGUUCGCGGCAGAUUAGUUAGUUGGCAGGGUAAUGGCCUACCAAGACGAUGAUCUGUAUCCGGCCUGAGAGGGCGCACGGACACACUGGAACUGAAACACGGUCCAGACUCCUACGGGAGGCAGCAGUGGGGAA